AGCAGCCGCGGUAAUUCCAGCUCCAAUAGCGUAUAUUAAAGUUGUUGCAGUUAAAAAGCUCGUAGUUGAAUUUCAGGCCUGGCUGGACGGUCCGCCCUUCGGGUGAGUACUGUCUGUGGUCGGGUCCUACCCUCUGGCGAAGCGUCAUGGCCUUAACCGGCCGUGGCGGGGAACCAGGACUUUUACUGUGAAAAAAUUAGAGUGUUCAAAGCAGGCAAUCGCUUGGAUACAUUAGCAUGGAAUAAUGGAAUAGGACAAUGGUUCUAUUUGUUGGUUUCUAGGACCGUUGUAAUGAUUAAUAGGGAUAGUUGGGGGCAUUAGUGUUCAAUUGUCAGAGGUGAAAUUCUUGGAUUUAUUGAAGACUAACUACUGCGAAAGCAUUUGCCAAGGAUGUUUUCAUUAAUCAAGAACGAAAGUUAGGGGAUCGAAGACGAUCAGAUACCGUCGUAGUCUUAACCAUAAACUAUGCCGACUAGGAAUCGGGCGAUGUUGACAAAAUGACGC
rnacentral:rRNA from 1 species